rnacentral:lncRNA from 1 species
UAUUUUGUUAGUGCCAUACCUGCAAAUAAGAAAGAGGCCGAACAGGUUACUAAGCCGGAUGGCCUUUUGGUUCCCGGUACGUAGCCCCCUCCUCGACUCGAGUUGUCCGCUCGGGUACACAAUCUGGACCCUGUACCGAGGUUCUGAACUUAGUAUAACGAAACCUCAUGCCGGAUCCCUAGUAGGAAUGUUUAUUUGCGUCAUGCUUUUGACUUAGGGGACUCAGCACUGGGGUUGGAUCCGUCUAGGACAGGUGCCCUGAAAUAAAAGACCAUCCUGAUGCAUUUUGCGUGCUAGUUGUGAAUUUAUUUGCCUUGGGUUCACAUGUUGACAGUUUGUGAACGAAAGAGAAUAAAUUGAGGAAAAUAGCAGUGUUGGGGUGAUCACUUGUAAAACCAAUGUUUAAAAUAGCGUCGAAAUGCUGCUGGAUGUUUUCCCAAAAAAUAAAGAAUUUCGGGUUUUUCAAUAAUAUUUGCGGGUUUUGAUAAAUUAUUUUGGCUGAUAAUAGCUUAAUGUUGCUACAAGAGAUGCCAGAAGGAGGAUUUUGCACAAAUUUCCACCUAUGAAUUUUAUUUUGACUGGUAAGCAAUCACAACCCUAAAAACCUUCUCUCCGAAGUUUUGGAAGGCCGUAUUUGCAAAGCCGAUCCUGGUUUUUAAAAUAAAUUUCAUAAAAUGUCAAUUUUAGUGUUUUGAGAUCAAUAAUUCACCUUUAAUAAAUGUGCAGAAUGAGCACAAUAAUGAACAAAAUUCCCUUGGAGUUGCGACUAUGGUGGAAUGAUCUCGGGGAAGAAGAAUAGAAAAAGGUUGACGCACAUCUGGGAGGCCUCACAGGUUUAUUGAAAAUUAACCCCAUGGGAGACAUCAUAAAGGCCUUAAUAACUUUCUGGGACCCGGCCCACAACAUUUUCCACUUCUCGUACUUUGAGCUAACUCGACUUUAGAAGAAAUGACUGAAUAUAUCAGGACCCAUACAAUCCCUUUGAGACAUCAAUACUUGAUCGCACCAAGAGCCCUCGCUGUGCAUAAAUUCUUGGACACCAUGAAAAUCAGCAGAGAAGUACACAAUCCCGACUUAUCGACUGGCUUUUUCACCUUGAAAUUUAUAUACCAAAUAUAUGGCCACAUUGGAGGAUUCUACAACCCUGAAAAUCUUAUUUGUAGCAAGGGUAAUCGGUUCAAGUGGGAGGAGCAUCAAUGUUUCGCGUUCAUGGUGUCUUUCUUGUGUCUUUUAGUAUUCCCGCGAAAGGAUGGCAACAUCGACUUACGGAUAGCAGGGGUCCUUAGCACUUUGAUGACCCAAACAAAGAGUACUCUUGCCCCAAUGGUCUUGUCUGACAUCUUCCAGGUCCUUAUCAUCUGUAAAGCGGGAGGAGAUUUCUUCGAGGGUUGUAACUUGCUACUACAAAUCAAGAUUAUUGAGCAUAUAUGUCACCGGCCUCGAUUCAUGAAUUACGGGUUGCCAACAAAGAGUUGCAUAAAAGAAUUUACCAACAGAGUUUAUGGGUUUAAAUUGCAAGAGGGUGUCGCAUAAUGGGUGGCGCAUCUCCGGGUCAUCACCGCAAAUCAAAUAGAAUGGACAUUCGGUUGGCUCUCUGUGGAUGAAAUUAUAUAUAUGCCUGCCACCGGACCUCAUUUCCUUUUGAUGGGCAUCUGAAUCAUCCAGGCCUUUGCGCCGUAUAGAGUACUCAGAUAAUUGGGUAGAUGCCAAAUGAUCCCUAGAGAUGAGGAUAUUAGCUGCCAUGUGGUUGAGAUAAGCCCGAAUGGUCAAUUCCCUGAAGCUAUUGUAUGCCAAAUCUAGAGUGAGUUCCAAUAUUUGACAGCCAAUACUCGAGUACGUGACGUAUCUAAGGGUGAGGUAGCACCCGGGUAGGUUGCCGGGUACAAGAGAGAUAUAGAGCCCGAGAGGCCAGCAAAGAGACCCCAUCUCCAGGAAUCUGCUGAGACAUCACAAGAGUAGUGGGAUUGGUUAGCAAAAGAAAAUGAAUACCAGGCUACUAUAGGAAGGCUGGAAAAGAAAAUUCAAGAAUUGCAAUUUGAAAAGAGCCUGCAAGCUACAGCUAGCAAGGGAGAAAAGAAGGUAUUGAUCAAAGAAAAUGAAGCUCUAUGAGCCCAGAUCCAGAAAAUGAUGGUAGCCACAGAAAAUCCUCCGAGGAGUGCAAAAGAUGAAAAGCUUAUAGAGAACCUGCGAUGAAAAGUAACUGAAUACGGUUUCAACCUAAAUAAGGCGGAGGGUGAACUGUCUUGAGCUCGGAAGCAAUUAAUUAAAAGUGCAGAAGAAAGAUCCCCCAUACUGGAGCAGUUAAAAGAGGGAAGUGGAAAUGAAAGCACUGGUUUAAAACAAAGGGUUGUCAUAGAUGAAAACAAAAUGGCCAAACAAGCCAGGGAUUUCAAAGCCGAGAGAGAGCAUUGCUACGCGGUAAUAGCGGGAUUGGAAAGAGAUUUGCGGCAGUUCCAAAAGCUGAAUCAAGCAGCUGAACAAACUUUAAAAGAACAGGCUGAGCAAAUAGGGCAUCUACUACAAGAAAAAGGGGUUAUCAGAGAAAAGGUGCGGGCAAUCGCAGAAUAUAUUACGACGAACUGCAAUCAUUGUGAGGACAUGACAAAACCUAUGUUUUUCGCCACUGCCAUGAUAUUUGUCCAUCAAGUGAUGGAAGAUCUCCACUAUCUCCAAGGAAGCUUAGCGCACAAACCUGUGGCAAGGCCGGACGAUGCCCUGCAAGCUCCAAAAGCAUUUAAAGUUUUAAUGUACUCAUAAACUUGUAUAUUUCUUGAAAGAAAAAAGAAGAAGUCAGUCUGUAUGUUUUGUUACUUACCUUUCGAGUCUGUAAAUUUAUUAAGACCUAGUUUGGUAGUUGCCUUUCAUUUCGCUAGCGUAUGUAAUCAAAGUUUAUGUCUUUAUAAAAAUUGAAAAUCACAAAAACAUUUUGUUGUGUACACAAUAUUUGUUCAGGAACUACGCUUGGUCUGAUUCAUGCAAAGUCAUGAUACAUGGGCAAUCUCUAUAGGAUUCGACCGUAUUCCUUAAAAAGAGGGGAAUAAGAGGUAGGAAACAAAAAGGAAAUUUGGGAUAAUGUCGGGAUGAAACAUACGACCAUUGCAAGCAUAUAGAAACCCGUUAUCUGUAUAGGUGCAUCAUACCUAACAUUUGAUUUCCCGUUUGUUUUCUGCCCCGAACUAACUACUGAAUUCCAGUGUCCAAUUCAGGUGUUUUAAGAACAGUGAUUGGUUUGCGAUAAGCUGGCUUCACACGAAUAAUUCACUAUGUCAAGGGAAACACAGAUAAGUCAACCGAAAUAACUCUACCAGCAGUCCCUAUCCUAGAGGACAACCCAAUUACAGGAGUACCAGCCUCCGAAUCUACAGCGGCUGAAGAAAACAGGAUCAUGCGGCUCCGAGUGAUGGAGAUGUAGGAUGCCUGGACAAAUGGGAAAGAACCUCCAAGCGCUAUCCCCGGAUUUCCCGAGCUUUUUCCAAGGUCAGGGGGUACCUCCGCCAUCCCUAUCAGCCACCCAAAUAUUCUCUUGGGGCAGCCUACCAUAUCAACAAAUUUUGUCGAGCGCCCUCUGAAACCCGCCCUCCAAUGUUUACAUCUAGGCCAGUUCCCAACAUCUUUACGGACCCUCCUUGCACAGCUACUCCACCCAAAUAUUCUCCUCGGGCAGCCCACAAUAUCAACAAAUUUUGUCGGGGCACCCUCUGAAACCCGUCCUCCAAUGUUUACAUCCGGUACAGUUCCCCACAUUUUUACGGCCCCUCCGUGCGCAGCCACCACGCAGCCUGCGGUAUCGAGGCCCGUGUUUGACCCCACAACUUUUACAUUCCAAACUCCUAACUACCAAAACAAGCCUCCCUCGUAACCACAUACAACUACCCUCAUCCAGCAUAUGAACUUACCCCAGUGCAAGACAAAACCCCCAAAACGCCCGAACAAGAUGAAAUCACAAGGAGAAUGAAGAGUCUUGAACAAAGCCUUAAGAACAUGCAAAGACUAAGUGGGCAGAAGAGUGUAUCUUACUCAGACCUAUGCAUGUUCCUACACGUACAUCUUCCCUUGGGGUUUAAAACUCCGAAGUUUGAAAAAUACAAUGGCCACGGCGACCCCAUCUAAAGCCUGAAGAACAUACAAGGACUAAGUGGACAAAAGAGUGUAUCUUACUCACACCUAUGCAUGUUCCCACACGUACAUCUUCCUUUGGGGUUUAAAAUGCCGGAAUUUAAAAAAUACGAUGGCCACGGCGACCCCAUCGCUCAUUUUAAAAAGUAUUGCAAUCAACUACGUGGAGCCGGGGGGAAGGAAGAACUCUUGAUGGCGUAUUUUGGGGAGAGCUUAGUGGUCAUUGCGUCCGAAUAGUACAUAGUCCAAGAUAUUACCCGAUGGCACAUCUGAGAUGACCUCGCCAGGGACUUUGUAAGGCAAUUCCAGUACAACAUCAACAUCGCCCCGGAUAGGAGUUCCCUAGCAGACUUGAAAAAGAAACCUGCUGAAAGCUUCAGACAAUAUGCUAUUAAAUGGCGCUCAUCGAGAGUAAAGCCUCCUAUGGACGAUGCGGAGAUGGUCACUGUCUUUCUGCAAGCGCAAGAGGCAGACUAUUUUCAUAAUAUGAUGUCGGCCAUGGGUAAUCCUUUUGCAGAGGCAAUUAAGAUAGGGGAGAUGGUAUAGAAUGGCCUCAAAACAGGGAGGAUUCUGAGUCCAUCCACCAUAAGAGCCACCUCCCAGGCUAUACAAGGAGGGGCGGGAGGAAUCCUAAGAAACAAGAAGAUAGAAGAAGCAUCCAUGGCAUCCUCCGAGAUGAGGAAACAUCAUGCUCACAGGCAUGCAUUCUCUGAUAGGGCACCUCAACAUUACUAUCCUGACCAAGACAUGCACUAUGUCCCUUAACCCUAUGCAGUUAUGAACGCUCAGCCCUUUUCUCGACCUCAACAGCCGGACAACAUAAACCAAGCCCCCAAGAAAUCAGCCUCCUCAGAAUCAUUACAAUCCCCGCCCUCCACAAAAUAAUUAUCGUCCCAGGGAGCCACCAAGGAGAUAGAACUUCACUCCAAUAGGAGAAUCCUACGCCAGCCUGUUCCCAAAGUUGGUCCACAUGGGUCUCUUGCAGCCUGUGCCCCCAAAUAGACAAAACCCCGAAUCACCUUCUUAUCAAAGGCGCGUACAUUGUGCUUACCACUCUGGGGUAGAGGGACAUGAUACCAAAAAUUGUUGGACCCUAAAACGAGCAGUGGAGGAUUUGAUAGACUAAAAGAAGAUAGUAUUGAGAGAUGAGGAGAUCCCAAACAUAACUGAUAACCCGUUACCGGCUCAUAACAACGGGCCGAUCAUCGGAAUGAUAUGCGAGGACAAAGAAUUUGAGCCCGCCCUCAAAGCCAUCAUAGCCAUCGCCGAGGCAGACAUAAAACUAAAAGUCUCCCCCAAACAGAUUGAAGAAAAUAAAAUGAAUGAAGUCAAAUGCUCAUAAGCAGAAAAGAAGGCUGAAGUCAAAACUGAGAUGACCUCUUCCGAGGAAACAAUGCUCCACAUCCGAAAAGGGCAUCAAGAAAAGAAGCCGACUUUGAGCCCCCCAAAAAGGUUCAAGCUGAACAAUACCAUGUAUAUACCCAAGAAAGCCUAUGUAGUACGGGAAUCGAUUAAACCACCGGUGUUGAAUGAGCCCGUGAUAAUCGAUCACGCACUGCCGAAGCCCAUGGCCAACCCUUCAGCAGUCCCUUGGAAUUAUCAGGAAACUAUCGUUAUAUACAAGGGCAAAGAAGUCCUCGGGGAAGCUCAAAAAGGUUAUCCCACAAAGAAGUACUCCGAUAUGGAAGAAGUGAAACGCUGCUACCAAACGGUGAUUUCCACCUAAGAGGCUAGUGAAUGCUGAGGAGGCAGAAGCCUUCUUCCAGAAAAUGAAAAUGCCGGAGUACGAAGUGGUGGACCAGCUCCGAAAAUCCUCUGAGUAGAUUUCUUUGUAACUCUUGAUGAAAUCUCCCGAGCAUCAGCAGGUGUUGGAAAAAACAUUGAACGAGGUUUAUGUACCGGCUGAGACCUCUGUAGUGCAACUAGAGAAAAUGGCGGAGAGAUUCUGCGCUAUUAACAAGGUCUCGUUAAGCAAGAAUGACUUACCUCCGGAGGGAGCUGCUCACAACAAAGACUUGUACCUCACUGUCCAGUGUGAGGGAUAUUAUGUCAAAAUAGUGAUGAUCGAUGGAGGUUCCAAAGUAUACAUAUUCCCACUAUCUACCUUGCAGAGAAUGGAGAUUGGGACAUAGAGGAUCCAUCCUAACAACGUAUGUGCAAGCCUUCGAUGGAAUCAAGAGGGACACCAUAGGGGAAAUUGACUUGGUGCUCACCAUUGGUCCAGUCGACUUCGAAGUAACAUUUCAGGUGUUGGACAUGUACACCUCCUAUAACUACCUCCUAGGAAGGCCGUGGAUUCAUGCAGCAGGAGCAGUGCCUUCUACCCUGUACCAAAUGCUGAAAUUUGAAAAUGAAAACCAAGAGAUUGUAGUUCAUGGAGAGGACGAACAGUCAAUUUACUGGGACCCCUCUGUCCCAUGUCUAGAAGCCAAGGAAGGGAGUGAGCACAUAGUGUAUCAAGCUUUUGAAGUCGUAGUAGCCGAUCAACAUGAAGAGGGUAAGCCGUUCCCCCAGCCUUUCCUGUCAAAUGCUUCAAUUAUGGUGGCAAAGGAAAUAACACGCCAAGGUUUUAAGCCAGGCAAGGGACUCGGAAGCUCCCUACAAGGCAUAAUCGAGCCGGUCGCCUUGCAUGCCGCAGAAAAGUUCUUUGGACUGGGCUUUCAUCCAACCUCAGAAGAUAUCACCUGGGCCAAUCGCAGAACGCGCCAGGGAUGGGCCUUACCAUGACCCCUACCCCACAUGUACAAAACCUUUGUAAAACCAAAGUAUAGUGCGGAGGAGGAAGAAACCUUCACGGCAGAAGAAAUUAAUGAGAUCUGCGGGGCUAUGAGGGAGUUGCUCGGGAUGGGCCUUGCCACGACCCCUACACCACUUGUACAAAACCUUUGAAAAACAAAGUACAGUGAGUAAGAGGAAGAAGAAACUUUCACGGCAGAAGAAAUUGAUGAGAUUUGCGGAGCUAUGAGGGAGUUUCUGUACGAGUUCAACAUGGUCUAACCGGGAGAAGGUUCAAGCGCCGCCGAAGUGCUAUAUAUGGGGCCAGAUGCUAAGCUUCAAAAUUGGAAGGCCAUAUCUUUUCCAGUCAGGAGGGAGCCCGGUUGUCCCGCCUUGCUACCUCUUCCUACAUCACGAGCUAUUUUAGGGUGUAGCUCGGUUGUUUGUUUUUCCUUUGUACUUUGCCUUUUAAACCUUAAGUUGUAAACCCUGUUAUCUUACCAGUUCAAAGAGAUAAAAUCAAUAUUUCGUCAUUUUCACCUCUUUGUUUUUCUCUAAUUUUUAUCUUUCUUUUAUUUUUCAUCUUUUCUUUCAGUCCCACUAAUGUGGAUUUAAAUAAAAUGACAUGCUCGCAGACAUCAUGCCACGACCCAAAUAUGCUUCCCAUCUCUGAAAUAAUGAACCAAAAACCGGAAUAUGAUAAAGAAGAGGCUUUUAGGGAAAUCAACCGAGAGUUGGAACACUUUGAAGACAAACCUAAGCCAAACUUAAACUUUAAUGAACCGGUUAACUUGGGCAAUGCCGAUGAAAUCAAAGAAACUAAAAUAAGCAUCCACAUGAAUAAAGAAGUACGGGAUUCAUUAGUUCAACUCCUUUUGGAAUUCAAAGAUGUAUUUGCGAGCUCCUACGAUGAAAUGCCUGGUUUGAGUAUGGAUUUGGUGGUUCAUAAGCUGCCUACAUACCUUGAAUGCCCUCCGGUCCAACAAAAGCAAAGAAAAUUCAAGCCUGAUGUCAGCGAUAAAAUCAAAGAAGAGAUUACGAAACAACUAGAGGCAGGGGUAAUCCGGGUGGUUCGGUACACCACAUGGCUGGCCAAUGUGGUCUCGGUACAGAAAAAGAACGGAAAAACUCGAGUGUGUAUGGACUACAUGGACUUAAAUAAGGCGAGUCCCAAGGACAACUUCCCUCUACCCAAAAUCCACAUUCUUGUCGAUUACUGUGCCAAGAAUGAGAGUCAAUCCUACGUAGAUUGCUACGCAAGAUACCACCAAGUGUUGAUGGAUGAGGAGGAUGCUGAGAAAACCGCCUUUACCACACCUUGGGGAACCUAUUGUUAUAGAGUUAUGCCUUUUGGAUUGAAAAACGCCGGGGAAACAUACAUGAGGGCUAUGACCACCAUCUUCCACGACAUGAUGCAUCGAGAAAUAGAGUUAUAUGUGGAUGACGUGAUUAUCAAAUCUAAGACUCAGAUUGAAAAAUGUCGGGGCAACCUACAUGAGGGCUAUGACCACCAUCUUCCACGACAUGAUGCAUCGAGAAAUAUAGGUAUAUGUAGAUGACAUGAUUAUCAAAUCUAAGACUCAGGUCGAUCAUGUAAAGGACUUGGGGAAGUUCUUCGAAAGGCUCCGCAAAUAUGAUUUGAAAUUAAAUCUAGCAAAGUGUGAAUUGGGGUCCCGCCAGGCAAACUUCUGGGGUUCAUAGUCAACUAAAGAGGCAUCGAAUUGGAUCUAACCAAGACAAAAUCCAUUCAAGAGCUACCUUCGCCAAGGACUAAAAAGGAUGUAAUGAGUCUAUUGGGAAGAUUGAAUUACAUAAGUCGAUUCAUCACCAGUUGACUUCCACAUGUGAGCCCAUAUUUAAGCUACUGAAAAAGGAUGCGGCAGUUAAGUGGACAGUUGAGUGUCAUGAAGCUUUCGACAUAAUCAAAUAAUACUUGUCCAAUCCACCAGUUUGGUUCUGCCAGAGCCUGGAAUUCCGCUAUUUUUCUAUCUAACAGUCUUGAAAGGCUCUUUUGGUUGUAUUCUCGAGCAGCAUGGCGCCACGAAAAAGAAAGAGCAGGCCAUUUAUUAUGUGAGCAAAAAGUUUACUAGUUACGAGGCCACGUACACACUGUUAGAAAGAACUUGUUGCGCCUUGACGUGGAUGGCUCAGAAGUUAAGGAAUUAUCUACAAGCUCAUACCACGUACCUCAUAACCAGGCUGGAUCCACAAAGGUACAUAUUCCAAAAACCAAUGCCCACAGGACGACUGGCCAAAUGGCAGAUCCUGCUCACGGAGUUCGACAUUGUUUAUGUCACGCGUACGGCGAUGAAAGCUCAAGCAUUGGCAGAUCAUCUGGCUGAGAACCCCGUUGAUGAUGAAUAUCAUCCUUUAUACACAUUCUUCCUUGAUGAAGAAGUGAAUUCGUUGGAAGUAGCAGCUGAAGACACCCCUGUUUGGAAAAUGUUCUUCGACGGAGCAGUAAACGCAAAAGGCAUAGGGAUUAGGGAAAUUUUAAUCUCACCUACAGGCCAGCAUUAUCCAGCCAAAUCCAGGCUCCAUUUCUUUUGCACCAAUAAUACAGCUGAAUAUGAGGCUUGCAUCAUGGGCAUGAACAUGGCCAUUAAUCAAUAUGUCGAAGAAUUGCUAAUCAUGGGAGAUUCUGAUCUGAUCAUCCGACAAGCUCAAGGAGAAUGGAAGACAGGAGACAUUAAGCUCCUCCCAUACAAACAGCAUGUGGAAUACCUCAGCAAAGAGUUCAGGUUGGUACAACUGAGGUACAUUCCCCAUUUCCACAAUGAGUUAGCAGAUGCACUCGCAGCCUUGGCCUCCAUGUUACCAUACCCUGGGAACGCCUAUGUUGAUCCGUUACAAAUCCAAAUCAAAGAAAGGCAUAGGUAUUAUAAUGCGACCGAAGCAGAGCCCAGCACAUAACCUUGGUAUUAUGACAUCUUGAGAUUCCUGAAAUAACAUGGGUACCCUGAGCAAGCCACCGGAACAAAAGAAAACCAUCCGACGGCAUGCAAGCAAUUUCUUCUUGAGCGGGUGACACUUUGUAUAAAAGGACUCUAGAUCAUAAUUUAUGAGAUGUGUGGAUACCGAGGAAGCCGGGAGAAUUAUGCACGAAGUACAUGCGGGAGUGUGUGGUCCCCAUAUGAAUGGCUAUGUAUUGGCAAAGAAGCUACUCGUAGGUGGCUAUUACUGGAUGACCAUGGAGAAAGACUGCUUCAGCUUCGUUUGAAAAUGUCAUCAAUGCUAGGUGCACGGUGCUAUGUAGUAGCAAAAAAGAUAGUCUGAGCUGGCUAUUACUGGAUGACUAUGGAGUAAGGCUAAUGGUGCAGUCGAAGCGGCUAACAAUAACAUCAAGAAGAUCUUGAGGAAAAUGAUUCAAAGCGCGAGGAAAUGGCACGAAAAGAUUCCUUUUGCACUGAUGGGGUAUCGUACCACAGUACGUAUAUCGGUAGGAGCAACCCCCUAUUUGCUGGUCUAUGGGAUCAUACUCGCUGAGGUGGAAAUCUCUUCGCUCCGAGUGAUUGUCGAAGCAGAAGUUGAAGAUAAUGAAUGGUUCAAAACCCGUUUGGAGCAGCUGACAUUAAUUGAUGAAAAACGAGUGGCUGCGGUAUACCACGUGCAGUUUUACUAGUAAAGAAUAGCCCGUGCUUACAACAAGAAAGUGCGCCCCAAGAAUUUUGAAGUCGGGUAGCUGGUAUUGAGAGAGAUACUUCCUCAUAAUCAGGAAGCCAAAAGAAAAUUCGCUCCAAACUGGAAAGGUCCAUACAUUAUCAGAAAGAUAUUGCCAAAAGGAGCAUUGUACCUGGGUGACGUUGAAGGAGACGAGCCCGAGGCAGCAGUAAACGUGGAUGCAGUAAAAAGGUAUUAUGUUUGAAUCCCCUGCAGCAACGGCCUCGGUUGAUUGAAAUGAUGAAGAAAAAAAGGAAAACAAAGAAGAAAAAAUAAAAGAAAUAAAAAUAAAAGAAAAUAAGGAAGAAAAAAAAGGAAAAAAGAAGAAAAAAAGAAAAGAAAAAAGGAAUACAAACAAAAUUAGUUUAGGCAAAAAACUUCCUGAACUACGUCUGACUUGAUUCCGAAAAAAUACGUAGGCAGCCUCUCCCUGAGGUUCAGUCAUAUCAAAAUAAAAACCCCAUUUACCCAAGAAAAUCAAAACUGGGGCAGAAAUGUAUUGGUUCGGUUACAAAUCCAUCUGAAUGAUUCCAAAGUUAUAGAUCCUCGGGGAUGUAAAAAAUAUUGUGUUGGGAUUCGGCACCAACCAAUUUUUUGAGAGAAAUGAAAAUGAGAGAGUCUUAUUGGUGAAAACCUCCGGGCACCAUGAGGCGACGGAGAGCAGAGAAAAACAAAAUAAGAGAGUCUGUUUAGCGAAAACUCGCAAAGAACGCUAUCGGCGACGGGAGAAGAGAAAUAAGACAGGCCGAUUGGCAAAAACCCGAAAAAGGCGCCGUCAGCCGAAAAGAGGAAAUAUUGUUGCUCAAGUCUGAAUCAGUUUCUUUGAUCUUGAAAGAGCUCAAACCAGAAAGCAGAAAUGAAUUUGGGUCGGGUAUUGAGUCCAAGAAGCAUGUCGUUUCCAUUUAAAGCCGACUCAUAUUUCCAUAUUAGUCCCCUCUCUUCCCUCCAAAAGGAACAUACCUCUCUAAAAUCCAUGUUUCAUUCCUUUCCACUUUUACUUUGAUGUCUUGACUAUUCCUUAAGAAAGGUAGCAGGGUUGGUCUUACGGGUUUCUCCUAGCAAGAACUAAAGGAAUACCCGGCAUCGUCAAGCGCGCUUAGCCAAUACCCGCUGAUCAUGAUGGUUGACGCCUCAAAAGCAGGGAAAUAAAAGAAAGGAAAUUCAAAAUCAAAGAUCCAUGUAGGUGAAGCAAAAUCGGAGGGUUUUAAGCCAAGCAGGACAUUGGUUCUUAUCAAAACCACCAAAAGCAAGCCCCGAAAUCAAAUCGGGGCAAAACCCGUAACUGAAGGCCUAGAAAACAAAAACCAACCCGAAAAUGAGGACCCAUGGCCAACCUACAAAGCAAAGACUAGAAGUAAAGGGUUUUGUCCUCUGACAGGAAGGAAGCUGAAAUCAAGCAUGGCAAGGCCGCAAAACCAAUCGCUGUUCAAACUAACAGUUUGUUUUGUUUCUAAACUAAUAUAGACGCAGGCACAACCUAGAAAAACAGAAGGAACAUGGGGAAAAAACAACCAAAGGAUUGGCACAAGGACCAAGGAUGGUGUUGCAUCAAUAACAAAAGGGAAGUUUUCUUUUCAUUUUCCUGAAAACUCGUAAAUAAGCAUGAUAGCACGGGAUUCCAAUCCUUAGUUUCCCCUUGUACAACUUGUGGAUUUCCUAGGCAUGACCCAAGGAUUGCAUUCCACCCCCUCCAGCAUAGACCAGGAAGUCUCUUUCCUUCACAUCCCGGCAUAGCCUGGGAAGUUCCUCUUCACAUCCCAAGCAUAACCUGUGGAUUCUUUUGCUACACUUUCUACUCCCCAACGUAGUCUAAAAGUUAACGCUACCCUAUCCUUAACAUAUCUUAAGGGUUGUUCCUUCCCCUCUACCCCCAGCAUAGUCAAAAGGAUCUCUCCGGUCCCUCACUUCCUGGUAGAUCCUCCCUACCAUAACAUAGGAUUUUUUUCUUUCAUCCCAGCAUAAUCUGUGGAUCUCCCUAGCAUAACCUAGGAAUUUGCAUUCGUCCCGGCAUAACCUGCGGAUCCCUCUAACAUAACCCAGGAAUUUUUCAUUUAUCCCGGUAUAACCCGUGGAUCUCCCUAGCAUAACCUAGGAGUUUUCCAUUAAUCCUGACAUAACCCGUGGCUUCCCCUGGCAUAAACCAGGAAUUUUUUUUCCCCUGGUAUAACCCGUGGAUCCUCUGGCAUAGCCCGGAUUUCUUCACAACCCAUGGUUCUCUUUCCAUCCCCAGCAGGGACUUUUUCAUUCUUAUCCUGGCAUAACCCGUAGAUCCUCUUCUUAUCCCCAGCAGGGACCCUGUCUCCUUCCCAGCAUAACCUAGCAAUCUUUCCAAAGGUACACAAUCCCGAUUUUUAUUGUUUUCAAUAAAGAAUAGCUUGGAUUUGCGUUGCAAAUAACUCACAAAAUUUUCCUAGUGAAAACUGGGGAUGAAAUUUCGUUCGUGUUUUUGUGUUGAUGUCCGAGUAGGUCUCACCUUAUGGCACAAGACUCGAAAUGACCAAAAAGCAUGAGUCUCAAUUCAAAACAAAAGAAAACAAGAAAAGGACAAAAGAAGUGAAUUCAAAAUGAUGAAGCGGACAGAGAUACGAACUGCUCAAAAUUGGAAUGAAGUCACAAACUCUGCAUGUCCUGUUUUGUUUCAAAAACUGAAGAAUAAACCAGCAGCUGCAGCUAAUAGGCAUCAAGAUUCAGAUCAAGGUCUACGGCAAAAUCGGCUAAGAUUCAAGAUCAAGAUCCUAGAGAUUUAUGUAUAAGAAUCUUGAAUAACGUAGUUGACGGGCCUAGCCAGUUUAGCUUUUGUUUUUAUUUUGUGUAAUAAAGAGUUGGUAAACAGUAGCAGCAGCAACAGCAGUGAAAUCACAGCCCAGGGUAGUCCCAGUUACCAAAACUUCCAGAACUACACUGACCUGAUUCCUUUAUCGCCAAGGAUAUGUAGGCAACCUUUGAAGCAAGGUUCACUCAGAAAUUUUUCAAAGUGCUUCACACGGAGUACUCAGUCGGACGAAAAUCGCUCAUGUUUGCUCACUUGUCUUUGCACAAAAACUCUUAGUGUUCCCGCGCAAAGAGGGGCAGCUGUGAGCAUGUGAUUUUUGCCCUGCUAAGACGACUCCUAUAGGACUCUCAGGUUUAGGAUUUCCUUUUAAUAUUUGUUUAAGGAUUUAAUUUUAGAAUUUAAUUACGUGUGUCAGUAUGUUUUCAUUGGUGCAUGCAUAAAAUCAGUUAGGAUUUAAUUUCGUGUUUUUGCUAAAAUAACUGUUAAUUAGGGUUAUUUUUACAAAUAUAAAAUUCAAAAUAUAUAAGUAGUAUUUCUGGCAUGUUAAUCGUUUUGUUUAAUUUUUAUUUAUUAUUUUUUGCAUCUUUGUUGCAUAAAUAGAUAAUUAUUAGGUUAAUUAUUAAUUUUUAAAAUAGAAUUAGGAAUUAAAAAAUAAUAAUUAUAAUAAAAAGGGAAAGAAAACAAAACAAAAAAUAUAAAUAUAUAACCACCCAGGCUGGCCACAAUUGGGCCAGAACUGGUGGCCCAAAAUAAUUUUGCCCCGUAAAUAACACCUUUUCCCAGCCCAAACACGAGCCCCGACCCAGUCCACACACUACACCCCAAAAUGACACCGUUUUGGGCAGGCCAUCCUAACCGUCCAUUACAAACCAUCCAAUGGCCCUAACGCUUCCCCCUUAAGCAAAUAAAACUGUCCAAAACAUACGUAUAACAUCAGAGACCACAAAUCUCCUCCUCGUACAGUUCAAAGCCUGAACAUCAUCACCACCUAUGAGCCAUCACAGAACCACCAUCCACCGCCGACCGGAAAUUGCCGUCGUCGACGGCUUAGCCCUAAUACCGUCCAAAUUUACACCAUAAAAGCGUCCCACCCUCCUCUUUCCAUCUCCAUAUGAAUCACACUUCAAAUCCUUGUCGGUCCGCUCGAAUGUUCAAUCGAAGUCUGGCAGCUCCGCCGUCUACGGAGGCGGUCGGUGGCAAACUGACCUCAAACUAACACCAAUGAUUCCCCUUAUCACCUCCACCCUCGCCUUACCAGUAUCCACCCUCGAAUAUUGCCCCAACAUCUCGAAUAUUCAAUUUCGUGGACGCCGCCUUCACUGCCCACGGUGGCGCAACCUACAAAUAGUCUCAAGUUCACACCACUCUGCCUCCUUGACAUCCUCUUCCCAUUCCUACAACUGACCAAACUCGAAUCAGGCCUCUGUUCUUUGAACCCAAUUCAAAUUUGCUGGCCAAAAUACCCACUGGCCCAAAUUCACCAAAACAGGCACCAUGCACUCUCCUCGACCCCUGCCUUCUAAAACCUCGGUGAAAUUUCCAGAGCCCCGUUCCAGUCGCUUGAAUUUUGGACCUGAAAGAGCAUAGCAACUGGAAUCAUGCAUAACCAACGGAUAGUAUCAUUUGAGGUUCAAGUCAUUGAGAGUUCGAACCCCUUAAUUGGUGAGUUUUUCAUUAUAUGUUCUCUCUUUCAUUCAUCUUUCAUUUCUGAUGAAUUCAUGGAAAGUCAAUCCACUACGAGUCAAGGAAAAUUAAAGUCAGUCUGCUAGAAUUUCGCUUUUAUUAGAUUAUAUGGUCACUAUCAUUAGCCUAUUUGUUUAUUAGCCAGUAUUUUAUUAGCUUGGUUAAGUUUGUUUUAAUUUAACAAUCAAUUAGCCCCUCGUCUAUUAGUGUUUAAUCAUGGGUCAGUUAAGCUUGCUGAAUUUGUGCCUCCCUUUUCACAUGUUUCAAUAGGUUUGAAUUUAUGUCUCAUUGGCUUGUGUUUGAGCCCAUACUUACUAAAAACAUGAAGUUUGUUCAGGGAUUCAAAGCCCAUACCCGUCUGACCUAGGCCUGCCUUUGGGGUAAGGACAGGGUUAUUAAGGGUAACUCGGGUAAUAAAAACAUCCAGAUCUUCUAAUAGAGGGUUAAAAUGAGGUGUUCAGAUUCUUAGGUAGAAAACUUGGUCCACAAGUUAAGAACAAAGGGAUCAAAAUUUCAAAAUUGGUUCAAGGUUUGAGUUCUAUAACCAUGGUCAUCUUCUGACCAUAGGGGAGGUUUUGUAUGUUGGUUUGGUCAUUUAGGAUAAGUGAAGGGGUAGUGUAGGUAUUUAGGCAAUUUUGCAGAAAAUUAAUGGAACCUUCUUGUUAGGGGUCUAAAAUAAGACUUUCUGGUAAUUCACAAGAAAACUUGAGAUACAAGAAAAAAAAUGGAGGACUGAUUGGGCAAUAAGAGAGGGACUUUGGGAUAAAACACAAAAAAGGAUUGCCCUACUUAUUUUAGCUAUAAAAUGGCCUUUUUUUCUUAAAAGGGGCUGGAAACACCAGAGGGAAGAGAUAUACACAAUUAAUCAAAAAAGCUACUGUUCCAUUGGUUUUUUUUAAUUACUGGUAUAUUCAAACUGAGGGAUAAUCUAUGGUUCAUUGAGGGUUUAGAGUGCAUUGCGAUUAGCUGUUUGUUCUUCUGGUUUGGACAUUACGAUUUUUGUUUUCCUUGCGAACCUUCUGUGUUAAAUUGAUGGGCCUGGGUUCUCCUUGGCUUGUCUCAUUGUUGAUUUCCGCUACAAUUGUUGACUACUCACACAUUCUUUUUCAUCAUUUACAUUUUCCAGGUAUUUAUCUUAUCUAUGUGAACUGUAGAGUUGAACAAAAUUUGAAGCAAUACAAGCUGUUCAAAUUUAAGCCAUCCUUUAUUUCAUUGUUGUAGUUUUACAUCAUGUAAUAAUUAUGUACUAAUAAUAGUUGUUUAAGUUAAAAUGUAUGAUGUCUAAACUCAGUUCCUUUGAUGUUGAUGAUAGGAGGGGUGUAAUUUAAUUAUUGUGCUAGACUGGGACUUGUGUGUUAUUCCCAUUGCAUCCCUAGGUUGGUUCCUGUUGUUAGAUUUAAUUUGUUGUAAUUUAUAAAUUGAUGUUUGGGCUGUUGAGACUCGACAUUGGGUUGGGUUUAAUGGUACACUGCAUCUCCUGAAGGUGCUUAUAUGAGGGCCAUGGUGUCUAAUGAUUUGGACAUUUCACGUACAGCCUCGCUCUAGAUCAAGUUUGAGGCUCAGUGUGCGUUUUUUUCUGCCUACUAUCGAUUUGCUAGCUUCAUUUUGAAUCUGCAAAUGCUGACAAAUGUCUUAGCAGAGGGUCUUCUUAAGUCCCACUUUUACACAAAUACUGGAAUAACAAAAAUAAAUAUAGGCUUAUAGAUUUACACUUUAAACUGGUAUCGAUUGAAGCACGAGUUGGUGGCAUGAUAUAAAGUCUAUUAUCCUUACUUUGGGCCCCAGUACCAUUUGGGCUCACAAAAUGCAAGGGAACCUAGAUUUAGUCCUCAUAAGGUGACAAUAAACUAUUGGGCUCAUUGGUCCCAGGUUUGAAGGGGCCAACACUUAAAUCUUCAGUUAUAAUAAUGAAAUUCCUUUAUAAUAGACUGAAAAAUGUCACAUAACAAAUUUUCGAGACUUUCACAAAUUAAACGCAUAUUCAUUUUUAUCGUGUUCUUAAAUAAUUCACUUUCCUAAGUACGAGUGCGCAUUUAUGUGACCCAAAUCAAAAUCUCAAUGGAAAUAAAAUAUGUCUAAAAUCGCGUGCGCAUUUAUGUGACGUGAUUCAAGAUGUUUUUUAAUAACAUUGCAAAUCUCCUGAAAUCUACUAAAGCGGUUAAUAAUUUAAAAUUGAAUCAUGGGUCUGAACAUGUACAAAAAAUCAGAUUUUUGCUACUUAUUGUAUGUUUAAGCGAUCUUGCUAGAACUAUGGGAUCCAAGGGUGCCUAACACCUUCCCUCGGAUUAGCAAAAUUCCUUACUUAAGAAUUUCUGGUUCGCUGACUCCAAUUGGGCAGUCAAAAUAUUUCCUAAAUUUGGAAUCUUAAAUAAAUCGGUUACUUGGGACACCAAAAGUCAAACCUAUCCCAAGUGGAGACUCUUGAAUAAAUAAUAAAUCCCAUUGCGAAUAAUGUCAUUAAUUGGAAAAACUCCCUUAUAGGUGUCAUCCUUCAGGGUAGCCGUGUAAAACGGUGGUGUGAAACAUACCAUAACGGCAUCAUCUCGGGGUUGUUCAUAUCCGGCUUCAAUGUUCCUCGAGCACUUAGAUCUUCAGAUAUCGUAUUCUGCCUUCGAGGUCGAGCUUAGUCUAUAUUGAACCUAUACUGGAUGCGACCUAUUGAGCCUACAAAAUUGGAGGCAUAUGAUUCUAACCGUAUACAAAUAGCCCCUGCAUUGGUUAGAAUAAAAAUGACAAUAAACGGAUUGAACCUCGAUUCUCUAGAAUCCUUGAUAAUGACAUAAUUCUCAUAAUGUAGGCAUUCGAGGUGACCGAAACAUCCUGUUGGUUCUCUUCCCCAAAACAUUAAAUGCUUGGCCAUUGGUGGUCGGCUUUUAGCAUUGUUGAAUCGUCGCCGCUUGCCUAUAAAUACAAGGUUCAAACUUGGAAAAAUUUUACUUCAGUCAUCAAACCCCCUCUAAACUUCCAUUAUUUUUCCUUUCUUCACUUCUUUCCUCAUUACUCAUUAUUCUCGUUCCUUUUAGCGUCAGAAAAUACCAAAUUCCGCCUAUCUCUACUUCCUCUAACUUGAAUCAAUGGUGAAAACUUAAAAGAAAGUUCCUCAGAAGGAGAAAGCUUCCUCCUCCUCUUCUCGGCCGGCCAAGCUUGUAUCUCUUUCCCCUCACAAGAUCAUUCCUGGCCCUUGCGUUACAAAGAAAGAUUUCAACGUUGAAAAUUCCCCCACAAUCCCUAGUUGAUGCAAGAAAGUAUCCUGAUAUAUCAAUUUGAAAACGAAGAAGCAUCUCAAAGCCGUGAAAAAAAUUGUGUAUGGGGGACGAGGUCGUGAUACAGAUCCCUGACCACGAAGAGAGCAAUACAACUCACGUAGAGGGGUUCUUGAGUGUUUAUACUUACCCCUUCACACUGAGUCACCUCGACCCAGUAGUGAUUGACUUCUGAAAAAGAUAUCAAGUCACCCUCGGCCAAAUCCAUCCCUCUUUCUAGCAUAUAGUGAUUAUGCUCUACUAGUUCUCUUGCAAGGCUGGGGGACUGGAGUUCACCCUCAAUCACCUUAUUAGAUUGUAUCAGCCUCAACUUUAUCGAGGGUUAAUCAAGCUCCAACGUCGCUCGAGCAAAGCCUUCUUCAUAAGCAAUGACAAGGAUAAGGACCAAGGUUGGAUGAGCUGGUUUGUCCAAGUGAGGAGCUCGAACGUCAUCCCUGAGGGUAAAAUGCCAUUCCCAAAGAAAUGGAACCCCAAUCAUAAGUAAAGUCCUUUUUCCCAAUAUCCUCUCAUAUUCCAUUUCUGCAUUUUGUAAUUCCUUUAUAAUGCCUUUAGCUUUUUUGUGGUUAUUUCUUGGAUGCCCCAUGUGAUCCUCGACCUCCAAGACUCGGUCUGAAAUUAGUUGUAGCCUUCUCGUAUGACAAGCGCAAAUGGUGUGACUUGUUGAGGGGAAAAUGGGAGGCCAAGCACCACGAUUAGUUCUUCUCCCUGUUCAUUGAUGCUUUCCUUUUAUUGGAUAUGCUAUCUCACUUAUACAUAUUUUUCAUUUAUGCAGGUAUUGGAGAUGGCUCUGAAAUGAGGCCAGUCCCGCUUGGGGAAGAGACCAGUCGCUCGAUUCCAAAAUCGGGGAAUGAUAAAAAGCAAAAACGGUCUUCAAAACCCCAAGACCCCCAAGAAAAGAGAGAACCUGCUCAAAGGAAAAGGGGGAAACUCAUUCAAGGUGACAUAGACUCAAUCCACCAACUGAAUAACAAAGAAGAGGACGAGGGUGAGGAGUCGGCGUUGGUGACCUGAAUCAGGAAGCCAAUUGACGCCGUCAAGUCCUCCGAACCGGAAACUCAGCCUCGUGAAGAGGAGGAUCCAAAGGAAAGCGCGGGAAAAGUCCUCGAAUCACCUGAGAUCUACAUCAUUCCCGCGCCUUCAACAAGUACACCAAAGGGGGUGUGAUGACCUAAAAGGUCAUCACUUGUUUUAAAAGUAAAUUUUGCGUUUUGAGGCCUUAAAAACCUCUUUCUAUCUUAACUCGAUUUGCAUGCGCAGUUCGGACGCGUAGCCAGAAAGCCAAUAUGUGAAAAUCUGCGAAAAAUGAUGAAUUUUGACUUUUAAAUGAAUUUAAGUUGACUACGGUCAACAUAUUAGGUAAAUGGACCGGGACCCAGACCCGUGAUUUGACGGUCCCGGAGGGUCCGUAGGAUAAUAUGGGACUUGGACAUAUGUCCGGAAUUGAAUUCCAAGGUCCCACGCUUGAGAAAUGAAUUUUUAAAGAAAAACUUUUUUUCUGGAAUAUUUACGAGAUUUUGAAAGUGAAAUGUGUUUAGAAUUUAAUGGUUUCAGGCAUGUAUUUUGGUUCUAGAACCCCGUACAGGUCUUAUAGAUGAUUUGAGUCGAACCUGUGAAAUUUGGUAAGAAAUGAACUUGAAAUGACAUGAAUCGGACCUUAUUUGAGAAAAUUCGAAAUUUGAUGUUUUCAAGUAAUUUCAUGAUUUUGAUACUAAAUUCAUAGUUGUUGAUGUUAUUUUGGUGAUUUGAAUACACGAGCGAGUCUGUAUGAUAUUUUUAGAUUGGUGUGCAUGUUUGGUUUGGAGCCCCUUGGGCUCGAUUGAGUUAUGGAUAGACCAUAGGGUGGAAUUCAGACUUGGGAAAUUGCAGGUUUCAGCUGUUCUAGUGAAGGCCUAUAUGCUUCGCAUUUGUGAAGCCUCAGGUCAGCCUUCCCUCGCAAAUGCGAGUUUUUCAUCGCAAAUGCAAUGUUCCCCAUUUUUUGCCAGUCGUCGCAAAUGCGACAGGAUGUUCGUAAAAGCAACUUUGCAAAUGCGAUGUUAGCAGAGUCUGGGUUCGUAAUUGUGAACCCUGGUGACAAUUGAGAUACCUAUUACUUGUAAGUUCAUAACUUAGACACAUUUUCAACCAUUUUUCACAUCUUAUCAAAACAUAAACUCUCUAGGGAGAUUUUUCAAAGGCUACUUCUCUUCCUAAUCGAUCAUAAAUGAUUUCUAACUAGUUUUCUUUAAUCUUUAACAUCUUUUCACAUGAUUUUAACUCAAAAUUAAUGAUUUUCAUGAGAAAAAUUUGGUAUUUUGGAUAGAACCUAGGUUUUCAAACUUUGGGGAUUUGGACCUGGAUUUGAGGUCCGAUUUCAAAAUAAAUUAUAUGCUUGAGUUCGUGAGGGCAUAGGUAAUCGGGUUUUGGUAUGAACCUCAGGUUUUGACCUUGUGGGCCCGGGGGCGAUUUUUCUGACUUUUGGCAAAACUUGAAAAUUUUAUUUUCAUGCAUUAGAAUUGAUUCAUUUAGCAUUUAUUGAUAUAAUUAAGUAACUUAUGGCUAGAUACAAGCAAAUUGGUGGUGGAAUCAAGGGGUAAAGUGAUAGUUGGACUUGAAUUGUGUUCGUAACAUCUAGGUAAGUGUUUGGUCUAACCUUAGCUUGAGGGAUUAGGAGUCGAGCCCUAUUUUGCUAUGUGGUAUAUGUUGAGUACGACAUAUCGUCAUGGUGGCGAGUAUCUAUAUGUUUGUGUCAAGCAUGCUCGUGAGUCUUAUAUUGUGAUUACUAUGACUUCGAUGUAUUAUUCAUCUCUUGGUGAUGAUUUCUAUUGUUGGACAAAGUUUGUGGAAGUAAUUGUGACAUUUGAACAUUGAGGAGUGGUGGCUUAAGUUGUAUAAUUAAAUGUGAAAGUACAAGUGGUAAUUGAACCUUUUAGAGCGUUUCCGCAAGUCGUGAAGUAAAAGUGAGAAAGAGAAGAGAACUGUUAUGUUGCCUUCCUUGCCGAGAUAUUAUUGCUUUUAAUGCUAUCUCCAUUACGGUGAUGUUGGUGUUUCUUUUGAUGUUGUUCCCUUGCCGGGACUUGAUUGUUGAACUAUUGUUCUCUUUCCGAGAUUCUUAUUGUAAUUUCAUUUGUUUCCUUGCACUAUUGUUUGUGAUUAUUGUUUGGGUGAUGAAGAGUGUUAAAGCACGAAGGGUGAUGUCGUGUAUUGUUUUGGUGAGAGAGUGUUAAAGCACGAAGGGUGAUGCCGUGUAUGAUUUAUGAGGAAGAGUGUAAAGCAUGAAGGGUGAUGUCGUGCCGCACAAUGUACAAUUUCGUGCUGAUUAUAUUGAUUAUAUGGUGAGGACGAGAGUAAAAGCACGAAGGGUGAUGUCGUGCAUAUUUCAUUACUUUAUUUCUUUGGUGAGGACGAGAGUAAAAGCAUGAAGGAUGAUGUCGUGCACUUGUUUGAUUUUUGAUUCUUGUUGAUAGCUGAGAUAUGGUGUUGCUCUUAUUUACUCGCUGUCGUCUGAUGUUUCCUCGCAACAUGUUUUCACCUCCCAUACAAGACAGUAUAUUACUGUUCUUUUUUUCAUUGUAUAUAGUUAAACUGCACACGUUUAUUUAAUAGUCUGGUCCUAACCUCGUCACUACUUCGCCGAGGUUAGGCUAGGCACUUACCAGCAUAUGGGGUCGGUUGUACAUUAGAUUUAAGGGGUGCUGAACAUAGUUAUACAUUAGGUUUAGGGGGAAAGGGGGUUCAGGAUCACAUAGUAACUAGGUUUCAUGCUUAUAAUGUAUUGAGGGUUAGGGGUAGGGCAUAGUAGUUGUAGAAAAUGUAAGAAAGCAAUAGACAUACUGAAUUACAGGAUAAUCACAUGGCAAAAUAGGCAUGCUAAUUUCAAGGGAGACAAUAGAACCUCAAGUAGAAGCAUAAGAGAAACAAAAGGAAGUGCAAUAUGAAUAGAAACAUAUUGUUUUGGAUGUUGUAAGUUAAACUGAAAAUAUACCAGUAAAAAAAUGAGAGAAUGAGUGCAGAAUGAGGAGUGGAGAACAGUACAAUAAAGGGAAGUAGAGCAGUAAUGUGUAGAGCAGUAGAGUAGUAGAACAAUAGAGUAGUGCAGCAAUGUAAACACAAGUCAUCUAUGGAUAGCCCUACCAAGCAUCACCCAACCCCGGGUGAGGAGUACAAAAAAAACUCUAGGAGCUCCUAUCCUACAACCCUAAACUAGACCUCCAGACUUUCCUGUCAAGGGUCAUGUCCUCGGAAACCCGCAUUCUAGCCAUGUCNNNNNNNNNNNNNNNNNNNNNNNNNNNNNNNNNNNNNNNNNNNNNNNNNNNNNNNNNNNNNNNNNNNNNNNNNNNNNNNNNNNNNNNNNNNNNNNNNNNNNNNNNNNNNNNNNNNNNNNNNNNNNNNNNNNNNNNNNNNNNNNNNNNNNNNNNNNNNNNNNNNNNNNNNNNNNNNNNNNNNNNNNNNNNNNNNNNNNNNNNNNNNNNNNNNNNNNNNNNNNNNNNNNNNNNNNNNNNNNNNNNNNNNNNNNNNNNNNNNNNNNNNNNNNNNNNNNNNNNNNNNNNNNNNNNNNNNNNNNNNNNNNNNNNNNNNNNNNNNNNNNNNNNNNNNNNNNNNNNNNNNNNNNNNNNNNNNNNNNNNNNNNNNNNNNNNNNNNNNNNNNNNNNNNNNNNNNNNNNNNNNNNNNNNNNNNNNNNNNNNNNNNNNNNNNNNNNNNNNNNNNNNNNNNNNNNNNNNNNNNNNNNNNNNNNNNNNNNNNNNNNNNNNNNNNNNNNNNNNNNNNNNNNNNNNNNNNNNNNNNNNNNNNNNNNNNNNNNNNNNNNNNNNNNNNNNNNNNNNNNNNNNNNNNNNNNNNNNNNNNNNNNNNNNNNNNNNNNNNNNNNNNNNNNNNNNNNNNNNNNNNNNNNNNNNNNNNNNNNNNNNNNNNNNNNNNNNNNNNNNNNNNNNNNNNNNNNNNNNNNNNNNNNNNNNNNNNNNNNNNNNNNNNNNNNNNNNNNNNNNNNNNNNNNNNNNNNNNNNNNNNNNNNNNNNNNNNNNNNNNNNNNNNNCCCGCUCCUAUACGAUGAGUGACGUCCCCGUCAAUCUCUCCGUCCCCCUGAAUCACCGACCCAAGAUAUCUGAUACUGUCCCUCUUGGCGAUAACCUGGGAGCCAAUCGUCACGUCCCUGCGUACUUCGCUCGGCUCGGCGUUAAACUUGUACUCCAGGUAUUCAGUCUUAGAUCUACUUAUUUUGAAACCCUUAGACUUGAGAGUCUGUCUCCAUACCUCUAUCCUCUCAAUAACACCGACCCUCGUCUCGUCGAUCAAGACUAUGUCAUCAGCAAAUAGCAUACACCAAGCCACAUCCCCUUGAAUAUGUCGGGUUAGAGCAUCCAUCACCAAGGCAAAAAGGAGAGGGCUAAGCGCCGAUCCUUGAUGGAGCCACAUAAUCACUGGAAAAUGGUCUGAGUCGCCACCCACUGUCCUAACCCUGGUCUUAGCUCCAUCAUACAUGUCCUUGAUUACUCUGAUGUAGGCUUCUGGCACGCUCUUCGCCUCCAAGCACCUCCAUAGCACCUCCCUNNNNNNNNNNNNNNNNNNNNNNNNNGUCCUAACCCUAGUCUUAGCUCCAUCGUACAUGUCCUUGAUUACUCUGAUGUAGGCUUCCGGCACGCUCUUCGCCUCCAAGCACCUCCCUUGAGACCUUGUCAUACGCCUUCUAUAAGUCGAUAAGCACCAUGUGCAGGUCCUUCUUCUUAUCCCUGAACUGCUUCACCAGCCGCCUGACAAGGUGGAUAGUUUCUGUAGUGGAGUGACCCGGCAUGAAACCGAACUGGUUCACAAAUAUAGAUGUCAUAUCCCCCACCCUCGCCUCGAUCACCCGCUCCCAAAACUUCAUGGUGUGACUUAUUAAUUUUAUACCCCUAGAGUUGUUGCAGCACUGGAUGUCCCCUUUGUUCUUGUACAAGGCCACCACUGUACUCCACCUCCACUCAUCCGGCAUCCUUUUGGUCCUGAAGAUCGCAUUGAACAACCUGGAGAGCCACUCCCCUCCUGACUUACCCAAACUCUACCAUCCUCGCCCUUGAUGCACCUAACUUUGUCAAGGUCACGUGCCUUCCUUUCCCUUGCUUUAGCUAACCGGAAUAACUUCCUGUCCCCGCCUCUCUCCCCUAGUCCUCGUACGUGCGACCAAACGCUGUAUUUUUAGCUUCUGUAACCUCCAACUUUGCUUCUUUCCUUACCACCUUGUAGAUCUCCAUGUUCGCUCUUCGUUCUUCCUCACUUAUGCUUCCUGCCAACUUAGCAAACGCCGCCUUCUUCAGGAAAUAGUAGAUUAAAGAAAAUAUCUUUCAUUGAUGGAUUUCAAACCUUUUGUUGUGUACAAAAAUUACAGGAACUUCAAUUUAGGAAAUAGAAUCAACGGUGACUUUCUUUCUUUGCCAUCAAUUCUCGUUCUACUCUCUUCUUCAAAAUUUUCUCCAUUUUCUUUCGUCGUCCUCUUCUGUCUUCUCCCCUUUAUAAAGAAGAAUAAGGUUAGAUAUAAGUAGAUGGAGAUGUGGGUGUAAGUGUGUGAUCAUGGGUAGAAGACGUAAGUAAAUGGAGAAAAUGGGGAAGUUGGAUCAGAUUUUGUUAUCUCUUUUGUUUUACUUUUUUUUAAUUCUUUUAUUACUUUUCUUAACCCCUUUUUAAUUAAAUAAAAGAAGAUAAAACACACACACAUAUAUAUAUAUAAAUUUUAGUUUUAAAGAAAACUAUAUAAAUAAGAAAAUCCAAUAUUUACACUAUAGUUUAAAUUAUACUAAGAAAAUAUUAGGACUUACUUAUUAAAAUUCUGAUGAAAGAAUAUAUAUAUAUAUANNNNNNNNNNNNNNNNNNNNNNNNNNNNNNNNNNNNNNNNNNNNNNNNNNNNNNNNNNNNNNNNNNNNNNNNNNNNNNNNNNNNNNNNNNNNNNNNNNNNNNNNNNNNNNNNNNNNNNNNNNNNNNNNNNNNNNNNNNNNNNNNNNNNNNNNNNNNNNNNNNNNNNNNNNNNNNNNNNNNNNNNNNNNNNNNNNNNNNNNNNNNNNNNNNNNNNNNNNNNNNNNNNNNNNNNNNNNNNNNNNNNNNNNNNNNNNNNNNNNNNNNNNNNNNNNNNNNNNNNNNNNNNNNNNNNNNNNNNNNNNNNNNNNNNNNNNNNNNNNNNNNNNNNNNNNNNNNNNNNNNNNNNNNNNNNNNNNNNNNNNNNNNNNNNNNNNNNNNNNNNNNNNNNNNNNNNNNNNNNNNNNUCUAUAUAUAUAUAUAUAUAUAUAAAUUAUACUCUAAGAAUGUAACUAUUUUUGAUUUUUUUUUUAUAAAACCUAUUAAGAGUUAAUAAACAUUUCAAGUAUUAAGAUUAGACUUAAAAGAAAUAUUUACAUUAAAGUAGUAUAAGAUUUGGGGUUGCUCAAAAAUUAGGUAUUCACAACAGGUUGAUAGACAAAGUUCAAACCAAAAUCAGUUGGGGUUCUCUUGAGAAGAUCUCAAGGAUCCAAGAAAUCGAAGAGCCAUGGCGUGUGGAAAACCAGGUCCGGUCGGAGAAGACAUAGAAACAUCAUAGGAAGGGUUCAUGUCGGCGACAACAAUUAGGGUUUGAGUAAGGUCUCAGAGAGAAUUUGGAGAUGAAUGGAUUCAAGGAGCGUGCAAAUGAGAGAAUGGGGUAGGGUUUUGGGGGGUCGUUGGAUUAAAGAAAGGAAAAAAAAUUGGACUGUUGAUUUGGAAAAUCAACGGUCGAGAUUAAAAAGUUAGGUUGGGUUCCGGGUUUAGGUAUGGGUUAAUACAACGUGGGUCGGAUUUUAAUUUAAAAUUGGACUGCGAAUUGGGGUCCUUAAUUGGCUUUACUUGAAAGCCAAUUUAGCUGUAAUUUAAAUAGCUAGUUUUCCCUAUUAAAUUUACAAAAAAUAAUAGAUAUUUUCUAAAAAAAUAACUAAAAUGCUAAUAUAAUUUAGGAUACAUAAUUAGCAAUUGAAAAUACAGGAUCCAAUUUUACGCAUAUAAAAUAUAAUUAUAUCUUAAAAGGGUUAACAUUGUAAUUAUGUUACAUUAUUGACUAGAAAUGAAUUUUCUUACAUUUGACUAUGUACCAUUGAAGGAUUUAGUCGCACACUUGAAAGAUAGCCCAUAAAGUUACGGGAAUGACCAGAUAAUUGGUUUAUAUAGAUCCUUCCUGUGUGAAAGCACAGAGAAAAAUGACAUUGCCAAAAAUUGACAAGGUAAAAUUUCCAUUUAUUCAUCAAAAGAAACGUCCCUUUUGAAGCCAGAAUGGAUUUUCCUUGAUACCAAACAUAAUGCUUUAAAAAUACUAAAUGUAAUUUCAAAAAUAUAUAUAAAAAUUAUCUUAACCAUAUUUUGGCGUAAGUAUAGAAAUCGAAUAGAUGAAUUAUCAAAAUAAUAUUUUUUUAAAUAAUUAUUGGGGAUUUUAUGGAUAAAAAGGGAGAAAAUAAAACAAUUAAAAUCCUUAAAAUUAUGGAAAAAAUAAUAAACACCUUGAGAAUGCUUAUAUAUGCAUAUAUAUAUAUAUAUAUAUAUAUAUNNNNNNNNNNNNNNNNNNNNNNNNNNNNNNNNNNNNNNNNNNNNNNNNNNNNNNNNNNNNNNNNNNNNNNNNNNNNNNNNNNNNNNNNNNNNNNNNNNNNNNNNNNNNNNNNNNNNNNNNNNNNNNNNNNNNNNNNNNNNNNNNNNNNNNNNNNNNNNNNNNNNNNNNNNNNNNNNNNNNNNNNNNNNNNNNNNNNNUAUAUAUAUAUAUAUAUACAUAUAUAUAUAUAUAUACAUAUAUAUAUAUAUAUAUAUACAUACACACAUACACACACACACUAUCUUGAAGGUAUUUUACAUAUUUAAAAUAUAUUAAAAAAUUGGGUAUUAACAAUCGGCCCAGCACAGGUCCCAGAGGGAUUCAUUGCUACCCCAGUACUCCAGGAUGCUCUGGUCCGUUUAGUGAGCCUUAUGGAAAGCGUCACUCGGGGAGGCUUUCUUCUUGUAGCACCAGUCGGUAUCUUAGGCUGGAAGAGGAGCCCAAACUCCUACUUCUCACACUCCGGAGAAGAUGGCUCCCCAGUUUAAGACUCCACCAGUUCAGUCGGGUGUGGUAGCUCAGACCGGCGAUGGAGCAGCUAUGUUUUCCGAUGAUUUGAGGAGAUUGGACAGGUUCACCAAGCUCUUCACUACUACUUUCAGCAGUGCAUUUCCUAAGGAUCCCCAGGAUUAUCUAGACAACUGUCAUGAGGUUCUUAGGAACAUGGGGAUAGUGGAGACCAAUGGGGUCCAUUUUGCUACUUUUCGCUUGUCAAGAUCUUCCAGGAUUUGGUGGACAGAUCAUUGCUUAUCUAGACCAGCCGGAUCACCAGCAUUGACUUGGAAGUAGUUUACUCAGCUAUUCCUGAAGAAGUUUCUCCCCAUCACUUAGAGAGAGAUAUAUCAGAGGCAGUUUGAGCAUCUCCAGUAUGGUUCUAUGAUUGUUACUCAGUAUGAAACCAAAUUUAUCGACUUGGCUCGUCAUGCUCUUAUCAUACUUCCCACCGAGACAUGGGGUGAGAAGGUUCAUUGAAGGACUUAUCCAGCCUAUUCGAAUUCAUAUGGUCAAGGAGGCGGGGAGUGAGAUUUCUUUUCAAGAGGCAGUCAAUGUGUCCAGGAGAGUUAAGAUGGUUCAAUUGCUAGGAGGUGGUCAGGGGUCUGACAUGAGGCCUCGUCAUUCAGGCCGAUUCGGUGGCACCUCGUAUGGAGGCAGGGAUUCCUGUGGUAGAAGCCAUCCUCCUAGUCCUUUUCAGUUAGCACUUCAGGUUUCUCACAGUGCUUCAGGUGGUCGUGGUUCCCAUAUGCAGUAUUCUAAUCAGUAUUCAUACAGUGCACCACCAGCUCUUAAUAGUGCACCGCAACGCUAGAGUUUUCGGGGUGGUCAUUUAGAUCGUCAGGGUCAGUAGUCUCAGCAGCCGAGGGCUUGUUACACUUGUGGUGAGAUGGGUCACAUUACUAGGUUUUGCCCUUGAGCAUCGAGCAGCUCUCAACAUCAGGGUUCUAGUGCCAUAGUUCAGGCACCGAGUGUUCCACAGCGCGCCAGCCAGCUAAAGGUAGGGGUAAAGGUGCUAGAGGUGGAGGUAGAGGUAUUCGAGAUGGAGCUCAGGUAGAUAAAGGUGGAGGCCAAUAGUAGGACGUCCUAGAUAUCUAGUUCAGGGUAGUGGGACCCAACCAUGAUGUUAUGCUCAUCCAGCCAGGCCCAAGGUUGACGCUUCCGAUGCAGUUAUCACAGGUACUGUUCUGGUUUGUGGCAGAUAUGCUUCAGUUUUAUUUAAUCCAGGAUCUACAUACUCCUAUGUCAUCUUAUUUUGCAUCGUAUCUAGUCAUGCUUAGUGAUUCUUUGAGUAAUCCUAUUUAUGUGUCUACAUUGUGGGUGAUUCCAUUGUGGUAGAUCGAGUCCAUCAUUCAUGUAUAGUUGUGAUUGUGGGUCUUAAUACUCGUGUUGAUUUGUUUUUUAUGGAGAUGGUUGACUUCAAUGUCAUACUAGGGAUGGAUUAGUUGUCACCUUACCACGCUAUCUUGGAUUGUCAUGCCAAAACUCUAACCUUAGCCUUGCUGGGUUUACCUCAUUUAGAGUGGAGAUGGACUCCUAGUCAUUCAACCCGUAGUGUUAUCUCAUAUCUGAAGGUUCGGCGUAUGGUCGAGAAGGGGUGUUUGGCCUAUUUGUCCUAUGUUCGAGAUUCUAGUAUUGAGGUUCCUUCUAUUGAUUCUAUGAUCGUUGUUCGUGAGUUUCCUGAGGUAUUUCCUUCAGACUUGCCGAGUAUGCCUCUCCAUUGGGAUAUUGACUUUUGCAUUGAUUUGGCUACGGGCACUCAGCCCAUUUCUAUUUUGUCGUAUCGUAUAGCCUCCCCUAAGAUGAAAGAGUUGAAGAAGCAAUUGCAAUACUUGAUUGAAAAAGGCAUUAUUAGACCUAGCGUUUUGUCUUGGGGUACGCCGGUGUUGUUUGUUAAGAAGAAGGCUGGAUCGAUGAGAACGUGUAUUGAUUACCGAAAGUUGAACAAGGUUACAAUAAAAAAUAAGAAUCCAUUGCCGAGGAUUGGUGAUUUAUUUGAUUAGCUUCAGGGUUCCAAGGUACUUCUGAAGAUUAACUUGAUACCUGGCUACCAUUAGUUAAGGAUUAGGGCAUCUGGUGUCCCUAAGACAGCUUUCCACACUUGGUACGGGCUUUAUGAGUUUUUGGUGAUGUCAUUCAUGUUGACAAAUUCCCCAGAAACUUGUAUGGAUUUAAUGAAUCGAGUGUUCAGGUGGAUUCGUAAUAGUCUUUAUUGAUGAUAUUUUGAUCUAUUCCUACAGCCGUGAAGAGCAUGAGUAGCAUCUUAGAAGGUUCUUCGAGCUUUGAGGGAUAGUCAGUUGUAUGCUAAGUUCUUGAAGUGUGAGUUCUGGUUGAGUUCAGUUGCAUUCCUAGGUCAUGUUGUAUUGGGGGAGGGUAUUCAAGUUGAUCCGAAGAAGAUUAAGACACUCGAGAGCUAGCAUAGACCCACAUCAACUACAGAGAUCCGGAGUUUCUUGGGUUUGGGGAGCUAUUAUCAUCGGUUUGUGGAGGGAUUUUCGUUUAUUACAGCCUCGGUGACCAGGUUGACCAUGAAGGGUCCAGUUCAGAUGGUCAGACGAGUAUGAAGCGAGCUUUCAAAAGCUCAAGACAGCUUUGACUACGGCACUGGUGUUGGUUUUGCCCAUAGGUUCAGGGCCUUAUACAGUUUAUUGUGAUGCAUCUCGUAUUGGACUUGGUGCGGUGUUCAUGCAGGAUGGCAAGGUCAUUGACUAUGCUUCACGACAGUUAAAGAUUUACGAGAAGAACUAUCUGAUUCAUGAUUUGGAGUUGGCAGCCAUUGUUCACACGUUGAAUAUUUCGAGGUGUUAUCUAUAUGGCGUUGCAUGUGAGGUGACAUGGAUCACAAGAGUCUGCAAUACGUAUUCAAGCAGAAGGAGCUAACUUUGAGGUAGAGAAGGUGGUUGGAGCUAUUAAAGGACUAUGAUAUCACCGUCGUAAAUCAUCCGGGAAAGGCCAAUGUGGUGGCCGAUGCUUUGAGUAGAAAGUCAGCCAGUAUAGGUAGUCUCGCUUAUAUUCUUGCUAGUGAGAGGCUGCUUGCUUUGUAUGUUCAGGCUUUGGCCAAUUAGUUUGUGAGGUUAGAUGUUUGUGAGCCCAGCCGUGUGUUAUCUUGCACAGUCGCGCGUUCUUCUUUAUUGGAUCGUAUCCGAGAUCGGCAGUAUGAUGAUUCCCAUUUGUGUGUCCUCAAAGACAUGGUGCAUCACGGAAGUGCAAGCAGGUUACCUUAUGAGAUGAUGGAGUUUUGAGAUUACGGGGUCGAGUUUGUGUGCCUAAUGUGGAUGAGAUUCGAGAGUUGAUGUUAGAGGAGCCCAUAGUUUCCGAUACUCUAUUCAUCCUGGUGCUGCAAAGAUAUAUCAGAAUUUGUGGCAGCAUUAUUGGUGGAGAAGAAUGAAGAAGGAUAUUAUUGCAUAUGUGGCUUUUGAAUUGUCAGCAAGUUAAGUACAAACGUCGGAGGCCCGAUGGUUUUUUCAAGAAGAUUGAGAUUCCUGAGUGGAAGUGCGAGCGUAUCACUAUGGACUUCGUUGUUUGACUCCCACGGACUCAGAGGAAGUUCAAUGUAGUGUGGGUAUUGUUGAUAGGCUGACAAAGUCAACAAAUUUUAUUCCUAUGGCAGUCUCAUUUUCUUCCGAGAGGUUAGCUGAGAUCUAUAUCUGGGAGAUCAUUCGUCUUCAAGGUGUGGUUGUGUCUAUCAUUUCGGACCGAGGUACGCAGUUUACCUGACAUUUCUACAGAGCAGAUUAGCGAUAGUUGGGUACACGGGUUAAGUUAAGCACAUCAUUUCAUCCUCAGACAGACGGGCAAUGCGAGCGGACCAUUCAGAUUUUGGAGGAUAUGCUCCUAGCUUGUGACAUUGACUUUGGAGGCUCGUGGGACCAGUUUUUACCUUUAUCAGAGUUUUCCUACAACAACAACUAAUAGUCGAGUAUCUAGAUGGCUCCUUAUGAGGCUUUGUAUGGUAGACGGUGUCGGUCACCGGUUGGAUGGUUUGAGCCGGGAGAGGCUCGGUUGUUGGAUACAGAUUUAGUGCAGGAUGCCUUGGACAAGGUCGGGAUCAUUCAGGAUAGGCUACGUACAGCUCAGUCUAGGCAAAAGAGUUACACCGGCAGUAAGGUUCGUGACUUGGAAUUCAUGGUCGGUGAGCGGGUAUUGCUUCAAGUGUUGCCUGUGAAAGGCGUAAUGAGAUUUGGAAGAAGGGCAAGAUUAGCCCAAAGUGUAAUGGCCGUUUGAGAUUCUUAAUCGAGUGGGAGAGGUGGUUUGCAGAUUUGCGUUGCCACCAAGCUUAUCAGCCAUGCAUCUAGUGUUUCAUGUGUCCAUGUUUCGAAAGUAUCACGGCGAUCCAUCCCACAUGUUAGAUUUCAGCACUGUCCAGUUGGACAAGGACAUGUCCUACGAGGAGGAGCCAGUAACUAUUCUAGAGCGGCAGGUUCGUCAGUUGAGAUCGAAGAGUUUUUCUUCUACUUCUGUUCAGUAGAGAGGUCAGCCUGCUGAGGCAUCAACCUAGAAGUCCGAGUCUGAUAUGCGGAUCCAUUAUCCCUAUCUUUUCCCCGACUCAGGUACUUCCUUUUUCUAUCUGUUCGAGGACAAACGAUUGUUUUAGAGGUGGAGAAUGUGAUGUCCCAAAAGGUCUUCACUUGUUUUAAAAGUAAAUUCUCCAUUCUAAGGCCUUAAAAACCUCUUACUGUCUUACCUCGAGCUGCGUUCAUAGUCUGAGCGCGUAGCCUGAAAGCCAAUAUGUGAAAAUCUAUAAAAAAAAAUUAUGAAUUUUGACAUUAAAAUGAAUUUAAGUUGAUUUCGACCAACUUUUUGGGUAAACAGACCCGGACUCGUGAUUUGACUGUCCCGGAUGGUCCAUAGGAAAAUAUGGGACUUGGACGUAUGGUCAAAAUCGAAUUUCGUGGUCCCAAGCCCAACAAAUAAUUUUUUAAAGAAAAAAAAUAUUUUUUGGAUUAUUUAUGAGUUUUUGAAAGUGAAAUGUAUUUAGAGUUUGAUGGUAUCAGGCCCGGUUUUUGGUUUCAGACCUCGAAACAGGUCUUAUAUAUGAUUUGACUCGAACCUGUGAAAUUUUGUAAGAAACGAACUUGAUAUGACGUGAAUCAAACCUUAUUUGAGAAAAUUAAAAUUUUUUAUUUUCUUAAGUAAUUUCAUGAUUUUGAUGUUAAAUUCACAGUUAUUGAUAUUAUUUUGGUGAUUUGAAUGCACGAGUGAGUCCGUAUAAUAUUAUUAGAUUGGUGUGCAUGUUUGGUUCGGAGAUCCGAGGGCUCGGCUGAGUUAUAGAGAGGCCACGGGGUGGAAUUUGGACUUGGGAAAAUUGCAAGUUUCAACUGUUCUAUUGCAGACCUACAGGCUUAGCAUUUCUGAAGCCUAGCUCGCAAAUGCAAGGAAUGAGUCUCAAAUGUGAAGUAUCCCAGGCCAGCCUUCCCUCGCAAAUGCGAGUUUUCCAUCGCAAGUCGCAAAUGCGACAGGAUGUUUGCCAAAGCGACUUUGAAAAUGCGAAGGUCGCUUCACAAAUGCGAUGUUAGCAGAGUUUGGGUUCGCAAUUGCGAAUCCUGGUUGCAAUUGUGAUACCUACAACUUGUAAGUUCAUAACUUAGAUGCAUUUUCAACCAAUUUUCACAUAUUCCAAAAAAAAAUAAACUCUCUACGAAGAUAUUUCAAAGGAAACAUCUUUUCCUAAUCGAUUAUAAGUGAUUUCUAACUAGUUUUCUUCAAUAGAAAAAGGCUCAAAAUGCCUAUAAAUUAUUGAAAAAGGUUAAAACAUACCCUCCAUCCAUCUGUCGAGCUAAAAAUACCCCUCCAUCCAAUUUUUUGGUUCACUUAUGCCCUUUAACUAUUAGGUCACUACUAAAUUAAAAAUUAUUAUUAUUAGUUUUUUAAAACUUUAUAAAAAAUUGCAAAAUAUUUUCAUUUCUUUAAACUAAUGCACCAAUAGUCCGCUAAUUUAGUAAAGUCUUCUUAUUUUAUUUUUUCAAUUUUUAACAAAAAUAAUUUUACUUUCAUUUUUUUCUGUUUUUAAAGCAUUUUUUUGUGAAAACUAAAAAAAAAUUAAUAAAGUAUUUUUUCGUUUUUUAAAAAGUGAAAAUAAUGUUUUCAACAAAAUAUUUUUUUUUUGAAAAAUACUCUUUUCCAUUUUUUCAGUUUUUUUAAAGCAUUUUAUUUUCAUUUUUCAGUUUGUGUUUAAAGAAGAAAAAUUUUCAUUUUUUAAAAAACUGAAAAGAUUGAAAAAAUAUUAUUCAAAAGCAAAAAUAUUUUGUAGAAAAUAUUUUUUCCAGUUUUUAAAAACUAUAUUUUAUUAAAACAUUUUUCCCCUAUUUUUACCAAAAAUAAAAAAGAUGCAGUUUUUACAAAAAAAAGUGCUUUAGAAAAACUUAUAUAAUAAUAUUUUUUGUAAUAACUGAAUUGUUUUUGUAAAAACAGAAAAAAAAAAAAAGAAGAAAACUUUACUAAAUUAGUGGACAACUAAGCAUUAGUUUAAAAAAAAAGAAAAUAUUUUGUAAAAUAUUGUUUUUUAAGUUUACAAAAAGAAUAAUAAUUAUUUUUAAUUCAACAUUGGCCCAACAGUCAAAUGGUAUAAGUGAAUUAAAAAUGUGGAUGGAGAGGUAUUUUUAGCCCAAUAGUUUGAUCAAGGGUAUUUUAAAAUAUUUUUCAAUAUUUUAAGGGCAUUUUGAACCCUUUUCCGUUUCUUUAAUCUUUAAUAUCUUUUCACAUGAUUUCGAUUCAAAAUUAAUGAUUUUCAUAUGGGAAAUAGGGUGUUUUGGCUAGAACCUAGGUUUUCAAAAUUUGAGGAUCCGACCUCGAUUUGAGGUCUGGUUUUAAAAUAAGUUAUAUAUUUGAGUUUGUGAGAGAAUGUGUAAUUGGCUUUAUUGUUCGAACCUCGGAUUUUUACCAUGUGGGCCAAAGGGCAAUUUUUUUUACUUUUGGGAAAACUUUGGAAAACUUAUUUUCAUGCAUUAGAAUUGAUUCAUUUAGCAUUUAUUGAUGUAAUUAAGUAACUUGUGGCUAGAUACAAGUGAAUUGGUGGUCAAAUAAAGGGGUAAAGUGAUAGUUGAGACUUGAAUUAUGUUCGUGGCAUCGAGGUAAGUGUUUGUUCUAACCUUAGCUUGAGGUAUUAGGAGUCGAGUCCUAUUUGCUAUGUGGUAUUUGUUGAGUAUGAUGUAUAGUCAUGGUGACGAGUAUCAAUACAUUCGUGUCAAGCGUUCACGUGAGUCUUAUUGUGAUUAUUAUGACUUCGUUGUAUUAUUAAUGUCUUUGUGAUGAUUUCUAUUAUGGGGCAAAGUUUGUGGAAGUAAUUGUGAACUUGAAUAUUGAGGAGCGUUGGCUCAAGUUGUAUAAUGAAAUAUGAAAGUACAAGUGUUAAUUGAAUCUUUUGGAGCAUUGGCUCAAGUUGUGAAGUGAGUUGUGAAGUAAAAGUGAGAAAGCGAAGAGAAUUAUUAUGUUGCCUCCCUUGCCGGGAUAUUGUUGCUUUUAGUUCUAUCUCUCUUGUGGGGAUGUUGAUGUUUCUUUUGAUAUUGUUCACUUGGCAGGACUUGAUUGUUGAACUAUUGUUCACUUUCCAGGACUUGAUUGUUGAACUAUUGUUCUCUUGCUGGGAUUCUUAUUGUAAUUUUAUUUAUUUCCUUGCCCUAUAGUUUGUGAUUGUUGUUAUGGUGAGGAAGAAUGCUAAUGCACAAAGUGUGAUGCCAUGUAUUGAUUUGGUAAGAGAGUGUUAAAGCACGAAAGGUGAUGCCGUGUAUGAUUUGUGAGGAAGAGUGUAAAGCAUGAAGGGUAAUAUCGUGCCGCACGAUGUACAAUUUCAUGCCGAUUAUAUUGAUUAUAUGGUGAGGACGAGAAUAAAAGUACGAAGGGUGAUGUCGUGCACUUGUUUGAUUCUGUUUCUUGUUGAUAGCUAAGAUAUGGUAUUCCUCUUAUUUACUCGAUGUCUUCUAUUCUUAAGUGGUAUUUCCCCGCAUCAAGUUUCUCUCUCUCAUACUUGACUGUAUAUUACUGUUCUUUUUCUCUGUUGUAUAUAGUUAAACUACACAGCUUUAUUUGGUACUCUGGUCCUAGCCUCGUCACUACUUCGCGGAGGUUAGGCUAGGCACUUACCAGCACAUGGGAUCGAUUGUGUUGAUACUACACUCUACAUUGUGUGCAGAUCUGGGAGCAGAAGCUUUUGGACCUUAGCUUGGGUGGCUGCCUUAAGUCCAUACGGAGACCCAAGGUAGUCCUACAGGCGCCCGCGGGCCCUGGCAUCUCCCGCUAUCCCUUUAUCCCGUUUCAUUUACUUAUUUCAGAAACAGUGUAUCAUUUAUCUUUUGGACUUUGUUUGUAGUACUUUUAGACCGUCUAUGAAGCUAUGACACUAGUUUUGGAUAGACGUUGUUCAAAUAGUUGUAUUGGAUAUAUAUUCGGAUAGUUUUAUUGCUUUUCUUUCGCUUGUCAUAGAUUUCUUUGUCUACACAUUAUUAUUUUAUAAUUGUUAAAGAAUUAAAAUGGGUAAAAGGUAAUUUGUUCAAAUAGUCGACUUGCCUAGCUCAUAUUAGUAGGUGUCAUCACGACUCUCGAUGGUAGAAAAUCCAGGUCGUGACAUGGGGCAAGUACCGAGACCCCCGAGGUCGAAUAGAGCGCCCUGGAUGACUUUCUCGGGGCCAUGACAAUAAGUCACUCCCCUCAUCUACCAUCUUAUUCCUAAGAGGCAAUAAAGGAAGCUCAAGCUCUGUAAACGCUCAACCUGAGCAGCGUCCCCAGCGAAGAAGAUCCCUUCCAAGAUUGCUUUACUGGGGUCGAUGAUAUCGUCGACCUCAAUGAUGCAUUUACCCUCUUUGAAGAGGCUUAUUGUCUCUUCUCUCGGGUAAGCAUUAGCUCUUAUUGUUGCAAUAUUUUCUUCUCCUUUUACACUAACUGACAUCCUUUUUAUUCGUGUAGGCAUUACCGAGUUUAGGAUCAAACUGAUUCAAUGUGAGGCGAGCUCAAGAGAUCCUCGGAUGAAGGGAAGGCCCUGAGGCUCCUUCACAGCCAAAAGGAAAAGGAGGUCAAAGACCUUCAGGAAGAUUUGGCCAAAGCUCGUCAAAAUAGCGCCGAGCUAGACAAGCAUGUAACCAUCAUUUUGCAAGAGUUGAUCUAGUUGAACUAACUAUGGAGGCUAACACUUUAAUGUCUCAACUGCAGCAAAAAUUGGACAUGAUCAGGCAGCUUCGAGGGGAGGCCGACCAAGUUAAGGCUGACUGCAACUAAUGGAAGGAAAACAUGGAUAGACUUGCCGCUGAGAAAGAGGCUGCUCUAGCCAACCUAGCCUCGGUUGAGACCCAGUUUGGAGGAGCCAAAGUGAAAAAACUAGACCAGGCCAAGAAGAUGAAUGAGCUCGAGGCCCAACUUGCCGUAAUCGGGCUGAGGUUUCUUAGUCCAAGGCCGAGGUCGAGAAGACGAAGGCUACGGCUGAUAAGACCGUUUUUGUGUAUCUAAAAGAUGUUGAGGCUGAUCAAAUGGAACUAAGGGAAUCCUCUACCCUGGAUAAACGGAUCAGUGAUUUGGCCAAGUGCCAAUCCCAGAGGGAGACCCUUGAAGAAAUUCAUACUCGAGGUUUCGACCUCAUCAAGGAGAUAGCCCAAACAAAAAUGCUCGAGGCUGAUGCCAAGUUCCUUAUCUCCUCCGACGAUGAUGAUGAUGCCAAAGGUAGCUAAAGCAGGUCCGAUAACGAAGCUGGGCCCAAAGAAGAAGCUGCUCCCAAGGGAGAGAACAACCCUAGGCAUAGAUAGGAUUUUUCUUUCUUUUUGUAUUGUUCUUUGUUUGUAAGACCUUUCGUCGGUCUCUUGUACAUAUCUUUUUUCAACUAUAUAAAGAAGGAUUUCCUUGGAUGAUUUCUCGAUAUUUUCUGCCUCGUAAAAUUCUUGUAAUGACUUCAUUCUUUUUAACUCUGUGUUUGAGAUUUUAUCUCAGAUUUUUUUUUUGAAAUUGCCAUGGUCGACUUCGAAUAAGUUCGAACUUUGGACAUAGAUCUUUACGAGAUUGUGGUGAAUAAGAAUGAGUCCCCGAGCCAUGAUCAAGCCAUCAUUUGUCUUGGGUUCGAACUGAGUGAGAGCGAGGACUCGAACUCUAAUUGUAUUUACCUUGUAGUCUUACCAAAUCGGACCUUAGGCUCUUUUAUAUCGGCCCUUCGGCUCUUUUAGGUCGGCCCUUAGGCUCUUUGAUUUGGGCCAAUUCGGCCUAUAAAAUGGCUAUAAUUUUUCCCUCUUUUCGCUAAAAGACUUAGUGAAAAUUUUCUUUAUGCCUUAGCAUGUGGUUUUUUUGUACUUGUUGGGUUUUUAGAGGGUUUAAUCGAUUAGAACCCAAUUUGUAAUCCAUUUGUGUUAAGAUAAUUAACGCCUCUUGAGGCUUUUCCGAAGGAUGAUGCUAUCGAAGCCUUUAAAUUAUAUAAGGGCUGAUUUUAUCGAAGCCUUUUUUUAUUUGCUUUUGCCGAGGGUAGCCUUAUUUAACCGUUUUUUAAAAGUAUUUGAAGGCCUUUAACUUAUGGUGGAAAUCGGAUGUAUCUGAGCCGCAUUAUUUUGGACGUAGACUUUUUAUAUACACCUCUUGAGGCUUUUCCGAAGGAUGAUGCUAUCGAAGCCUUUAAAUUAUAUAAGGGCUGAUUUUAUCGAAGCCUUUUUUUAUUUGCUUUUGCCGAGGGUAGCCUUAUUUAACCGUUUUUUCAAAGUAUUUGAAUGCCUUUAACUUAUGGCGGAAAUCGGAUGUCUCUGAGCCGCAUUAUUUUGGACGUAGACUUUUUAUAUGACUGUAGUCUUUAAUACGGUCGUAGCCCUCGGGUGUGUCUAUUGGACUUGUUUCCUGAUAACCUUUCGAACUUGUCCGAAAGGUUAGUCCCCAUCUAUGGUGGCCUUGGCCUUUGCAUCGAGGGAUGCCUCUUUGAGGUCUUACUAAUUCGAGCUUAGAUGUUUGAAUGUGUUGACAAUCGAUAACAGUCCCCGAGUAUUUGAGGUGUAUUUGUAUUUUGGCCCUUGAGUCAUUUCUCUCAGAAUCACAAGUAUGAUGUUUGUAUAGUAGAAAAUUUCUUUGAGACAUAAAGUGUAUUGAUUUAGAAAGAAUGCUUCUUUGAAUAAUUGAUACAGACGUACAUGUUUUGCCAUCGGGACUCGACUAUUCUAUAUGGAAAUGGUUCAUCUAAUCAUUUGGCUAAUUACAAAGUUUUCUAUCGAGGCCCUCUUUGGCAUGAAGUAUUUUUCUCAAAAAUAUAUCCUCCAAGGGUGAUCCCCCCCCUCCCCCAAUAUUCGAGGUUGAUUGAAAAUAAGCCUUGUAUACGGUUGAAUUCUCUUUAGAUAGCACAUAGUUGUUGCCCCGCUAAAACCUCGCUAGAAAAACCCCUUUGGGAUAAAACCCAAUCUAAGGGCAAAGAGUGCAACGCAUGCUUUAAAACCUAAGGUCUUCAUGUAGAAAGGUGCCCUCGACAUCUUCGACUGAACACCUAUAAUGAGUUAGUUUUAAAUACAAAUGGAGAAAAGGAGAAGGUCAUAUCUUAGCAGUAAUAUCAUUUGAGUAGUGAUAUGUUCCAAUUGUUUGAUAAUUGUUCGCCUUCCAUCGUGCCAAGUUUGUGAGAUCCUUCACCGAUAACUCUGAUAACUCAGUACGGUCCUUCUCAAUUCAGGCCUAGAUUCCCUUUAUUCAGGUCUCGAGUAUUGAGGGUCACUUUCCAUAAAACUAAGUCCCUGAUUCCAAAGUGCCGGAGGUUGGUCCUCCUAUAUUAAUAUCUUUCAAUAUUUUAUUUCUACGCAGCCAUCCAAACAGUGCAACUUCUCAUUUUUCAUCUAAUAGCCCGACGCUAGUAUUCAUCGCCUCAUUAUUUGAUUCCUCUGAUGCAUGUCAAAAUCGGGCAUUGGGUUCCCUGACCUUAACUAGAAUCAAGGCCUCAGAGCCAUAUACUUAAGAGAAUGGGGUUGCCCCCAUGCUGGACUUCGAUGUAGUUCGAUAUGCCUAAAGAACCUUUGGGCAUAACUUCUCUCCAUUUCCCUUUAGCGUCAUUCAACCUUUUCUUCAAGUUUUGGAUGAUAGUCUUAUUGGUUGACUCGGCCUGCCGUUCCCGAUUGGAUUUGUGUGCUUCGAGGAACUCUGCUACCUUGCUGCUGAUGAAUUGCUUAUCGUUGUUGCAUACGACUUUGAUAGGCAUCCCGAAUCGACACACAAUUUGGUCCCAAAUGAAGUCAAUAACUUCUUUUUCUCUGACCUUCUCGAAGGCCUGUGCUUCCACCUAUUUAAAAAAGUGGUUAAUCAUAAACAAAAUUAAUUUAAAUUUACCUGGGGCCGUUAGUAGAGGGACGACGAUGUCCAUUCCUCGUUUCAUGAAAGGCCAUAGGGACAGGACUGAGUUGAGUUUCUCUCCAGACUGAUGAAUCAUCGGUCCAAACCUUUGACAUUUAUAACACUUUUUAACAAACUCCUUAGUGUUUUUUCCAUGCUACCCCAAUAGUACCAUGCUCUAAUAAUUUUUUGAAUCAAGGACUCAACGCCCUAGCGAUUCCUACAAGUGCCUUCAUGGAUUUCUCGUAGAACAUAAUCGAUGUCCCCCGUCCCUAAAAAUACUACCAGUGGUCCAUGAACGCCCUCCUAUACAAUGUUCCAUCCUCAUCCAAUGUGAACCUAAUAGCCUUGGUUCAAAUAGACCUUGACUCUUUAUGAUCCGAUGGGAAAUUCCCAUUUUUCAAAUAUUCGAUAUACUUAUUCCUCCAAUCCCAAGUCAAACUUGUAUAAUUUAUCUCGGCAUGACCCUCUUCGACCACAUACCUCGAUAAUUGGACAUAAGUCCCUAGGAUAAUAUCAUCUUCUUCAACCGAUUACCCCAAGUUGGGGAGUGCAUCAGCCUCACUAUUUCGUUCUCGAGGCACAUGAUCUAGAGCCAUUUCCUUGAAAUGGUGCAAGGUUACUUGUAGCUUGUCCAAAUAUCUUUGCAUCAUAUCCUCUAGAACUUCAAAGCUUUUAUUUACUUGGUUUACCAUCAACAGAGAAUCAUACUUGGCUUCAAUGACUUAUGCCCCAAGCUUUUAGCUAGCUUGAGACCUGCAAUCAUGGCCUCAUACUCUGCCUCAUUACUGGUUAACCUAGAAGUUUUAAUUGAUUGUUAAUAUCGUUACUUGUUGGUGGCUUCAAAACGAUGCCAAUCUCGGACCCUUUAACAUUCGAGGUACCAUCUGUGAAGAGGGUCCAUACCCUCGAUGAUGUACCCGAUUUUAGCAGAAGUUCUUUUCCACUUCGGGUACUAGGGUCGAUGUAAACUUGGCCACGAAGUCAGCUAAAAUUUGAGACUUGAUGCUUGUUUGGGGUUGAUAUUAGAUAUCAUACCCGCCAAGUUCGACUGCCUAUUUGGCCAAUCAGUCUGAUAGCUCGAUCUUAUGCAAAACAUUUCGGAGAGGAUAAAUGGUUAACACACAUAUUGGGUGACACUGGAAAUAUUGCUUUUGUAUUCUAGAAGCGCUUAUUAAUGCAAGUGCUAAUUUAUCUAAGGGUGGGUAUCCAGUUUCAGCAUCUCCUAAAGUCCGACUUGCAUAAGAAACAUGGAAUUGCGUACCUCGCUCUUCUCGAACUAGUACUCAUUUUACCGCUAUCUCGGACAUCGCCAAAUAUAAGUAAAGCUUUUCAUCAACCUUCGGAGGGUGAAGCAGAGAUGGGCUCUAUAAAUAUCGCUUCAAUUUCUCCAUUGCUUGAUAGCAUUUCGGUAUCCAUGCGAAAUCCCUUUUCUUUUUGAGCAAGGAAAAGAAUUUGUGGCUUUGAUCCGACGAACUCGAAAUGAAUCGACCCAAGGGGGCUAUCUGUCCCGUUAACCUUUGUACGACUUUCACACUAUCUACGAUAGUGAUAUAUUUGAUGGCCUUGAUUCUGUAGGGGUUGAUUUUGAUCCCUCGAUUUGAUACCAUAAAGCCGAGCAACUUGCCCUAACCGUCCUCGAAGGCGCAUUUUCUGGGUUAAGCUUCAUGUUGUACUUCCUCAAGAUUUUGAAUGUUUCCUGCAAAUGAGUUAAAUGGUCCUCUACUUGAAGGAACUUAAUCAACGUAUCAUCAAUGUAAACUUCCAUUAAUUUACCUAUCUAUUCCUCAAACAUUCUGUUAACUAAGCGUUGGUAUAUAGCUCCGGCAUUUUUUAGCCCAAGCACAUUACAUUGUUAGCAGUAUGUUCCAAACUUAGUGAUAAACGAGGUCUUCUCCUGGUCCUCCGGGUUCAUCUAAAUUUUGUUGUACCCAGAGUAGGCGUCGAGAAAGGUAAGGAUCUCGUGGCCAGUCAUGGAAUUGAUCAUGCGAUCGAUGUUAGGUAGUGGAAAAGAGUCUAUAAGACAUGCCUUUUUUAAAUCCUUGUAAUCUACACACAUUCUAAGGUCCCCGAUUAUAAGUUCUCGUUGACCACGACCUAUAGGAACCAGGCUAUCUGCCGCUUUUAACCCUGUUUGCAUAGGCUCGUGCACAGAUUUACGUUCAAUAAUACCAGGGGCUUUCACUUCGACACGUCUUCGCUCGUGAUCGCUUAGAGCCCCCCUUCCAUCAAUAGGUACUCCCAAGCCAUCGACCACACGCCCUAGCAUAGCCUUUCCCGCAGGAACAUCCACAAUAGAUCCAGUGCGCUUGACAAGAUCUCCUUCUUUAAUAGCAGUAUCACUCAGAUUUUAAUUGGUUUGAGGAUUUCGACCUUGAACUAGAACAUGUUCUGUUUUCUUUGGACAGGCAGGAAAGAGAGAUCGGGAUGAUGGAGACUUGAAGAAGUAUAGUAUAAAUCAAAUAGAAGGCCCGUUCGUAGAUCAGCACAAAGCUAUUAAUCCAAUCCGAUCCAAGAUGAGUAACCGAGUUCUUCUUCCUAUGGUUGGCACGAGAAUCCCUCUCAAAGGGGAAGAAUCUGAUU